CUUGCUUUGUGCUGAGCAAGCCUUAGACUGAAGGACUAGCAGAGUGGACCCUCGGGCCGGGAGCAAGAGCAGUGGGUCCACAAGGAGCAGCCAUCGGACCCCAGGCCGAGAGGAGCGCCGGGCAACUGGAGCUGGGGGUAGUGGCAGUGAAUCAGACCACACAGUACCAAGUGGGUCUGGUAGCACUGGCUGGUGGGAGCGGCCUGUCAGCCAGCUUAGCCGUGGCAGUAGCCCUCGAAGUCAGGCUUCAGCUGUUGCCCCAGGGCUCCCUCCACUGCACCCCCUUACCAAGGCCUAUGCAGUAGUGGGUGGGCCACCUGGAGGGCCACCUGUCCGGGAGCUGGCUGCUGUUCCUCCAGAACUUACAGGUAGCCGCCAGUCCUUCCAAAAGGCCAUGGGAAACCCCUGUGAGUUCUUUGUGGACAUCAUGUGAUGAUCAACCAGUGUCUUCAGUGCUGCCUGUGGCGAGAGUCUGUGUUCCUGCUGUGCCAGGAGCUCUAUGGGCUUGCCUUAGUGGUGGCCGGCCAGGAUAGGUCAGUCGUAGGGUCUGGGCCAGGGCAGAGGGAGCAGGCAACAGAAGAAGGGCUGAGGGCAGCCAUACGACCAAGAUAUCAGCUUGAUAUUUUGUCUGCUCUUGGGGCUGCUGGUGGUGGUGCAGCUCAAGUAUCUGUAGUCUUGUAAGGAGACAUCUCUGUCUUUAAGUCCUCAGCACAGAUCUCAGGGACCACCUCCUGGUUCCUUUUUUGGAAGUGACCUCCAUUUA
rnacentral:lncRNA from 1 species